CAAGAGUACCCAGAUGCAGCGCAAGAUGGCGGACCCAAAGAUGAAAAAACGCAAUAACAAAACGCAAUACAUUUCCGCAUUACCUCCGAUUGGCGCAAUGAAUUUCCGCAUUACCUCCGAUUGGCGGACCCAAAACAUGAACUUCCGCUUUGCGAUGCCAGAACAGUAGGUGGCGGUAUGCACCUACACUUUCUGACGGCAAAAUUUACAGAAGAAGAAGAACUCUCAGGAAGUUUGAAAAGAAGCAAGCCGUCCGCAUUCAUUCAAUCUCACCUCCGACCCACUCAAACUAACCCUAACCCUGCAUUCCAUUGUUUCCAUCAUGGGAAAUCUAAGUGACGCUCUCAAAUUAACAGGAACAUUGCGCAGAAGAUAUGUCCUGGGCAAUGGACUGAGAAAACGGGCAGAGAUUUGGAGGUAUUUGUGCAUGCUCUAUAUUACAGUUGAAAAGUGUAUAACAGCUUUCCAAUGCUGUUACUUGUGGCGAACACCUUUUUGCUUGAGUUGAUGCGUGCCCGCAGGUGGAAUAAUGUCACAUGUCAC
rnacentral:lncRNA from 1 species